GGGCCCGUAGCUCAGCUAGGAUAGAGCGGCGGCCUUCUAAGCCGCAGGUCCCGGGUUCGAGUCCCGGCGGGCCCG
rnacentral:tRNA from 1 species